rnacentral:rRNA from 1 species
UACGUAGGGUGCAAGCGUUAAUCGGAAUACUGGGCGUAAAGCGUGCGCAGGCGGUGAUGUAAGACAGUUGUGAAAUCCCCGGGCUCAACCUGGGAACUGCAUCUGUGACUGCAUCGCUGGAGUGCGGCAGAGGGGGAUGGAAUUCCGCGUGUAGCAGUGAAAUGCGUAGAUAUGCGGAGGAACACCGAUGGCGAAGGCAAUCCCCUGGGCCUGCACUGACGCUCAUGCACGAAAGCGUGGGGAGCAAACA